UACGAAGGGUGCAAGCGUUACUCGGAAUUACUGGGCGUAAAGCGUGCGUAGGUGGUUCGUUAAGUCUGUCGUGAAAGCCCCGGGCUCAACCUGGGAAUGGCGAUGGAUACUGGCGGGCUAGAGUGCGGUAGAGGAGAGUGGAAUUCCCGGUGUAGCAGUGAAAUGCGUAGAGAUCGGGAGGAACAUCAGUUGCGAAGGCGGCUCUCUGAACCAGCACUGACACUGAGGCACGAAAGCGUGGGGAGCAAACAGG
rnacentral:rRNA from 1 species